rnacentral:rRNA from 1 species
CGGCGGACGGGUGAGUAACGCGUGGGUAACCUGCCUCAUACAGGGGGAUAACAGUUAGAAAUGGCUGCUAAUACCGCAUAAGCGCACAGGACCGCAUGGUCCGGUGUGAAAAACUCCGGUGGUAUGAGAUGGACCCGCGUCUGAUUAGCUAGUUGGAGGGGUAACGGCCCACCAAGGCGACGAUCAGUAGCCGGCCUGAGAGGGUGAACGGCCACAUUGGGACUGAGACACGGCCCAG